CUAGUCGAGUUUCCUACCAAAAGAAGUUUGCUGAGCUUGUUGUUAAACUUUCUUUCACAAGUUACCCCAGACACUGCGUUGUAGAUUCAAUGCCAUGCAUCAUUGUUAAACUUCUUUUAUAUAUCCCUUUCAAUUGUACUUGCUACCUGGUUUGACUAUUACAUUUUACUUGGAGAUUAUUUGUUAUUAUUUUGGAAUAGCCUAUUCUUGAGCUUGUAUCUCCAGACUUGCUAUGAUUGUGUUUGUUUCCUUUUCCUUUAGAAGAACCGGCCAUGUUUCACAUUUCUAUCAACUUGAUUGUAAAACUGCAAGUAUGCUGCAUUAUCAAAAGAAGAGUGGGAAGAACAAUUCGCAAGUAUAAACUGCAAGUAUGCUGCAUUACUUGGAGAUUAUAGUUUUAUUCUGAAGCAUAAACAACGCAGGUUGUUAAAGUGAAAUCAGCCAUCUCAAGGUGUCAAGUGCUGGGUAUGGUCACAAUCUGAACUGUUCAAAGGUGCAAUCAUCCAUCUUUGGGGCUUCUAUCUCAACCUGGUCGUCUUUACAUUUCAGCAUAUGCAGUGAAAAAUUCUAUGCAAACUCUGAAGGCAAGUGAUUGGCAUCUUGAAGGAGCUAGGAGCAUUUAAUAUAUUCUACAGCAAAGCCACGGGAGGAGAAG